rnacentral:snRNA from 16 species
AGCUUUGCGCAGUGGCGAUAUCGUAACCAAUGAAGGUUUACUGAGGUGCGAUUAUUGCUAGUUGAAAACUUAUACCAAUACCCCGCCUAGGAAAUGUGUAAUACCAUUUCCUAUGGCAAUUUUUGAAAGCUUCUAAGGAAG